rnacentral:rRNA from 1 species
GACGAACGCUGGCGGCGUGCUUAACACAUGCAAGUCGAACGGAAAGGCCCUGCUUUUGUGGGGUGCUCGAGUGGCGAACGGGUGAGUAACACGUGAGUAACCUGCCCUUGACUUUGGGAUAACUUCAGGAAACUGGGGCUAAUACCGGAUAGGAGCUCCUGCUGCAUGGUGGGGGUUGGAAAGUUUCGGCGGUUGGGGCUGGACUCGCGGCUUAUCAGCUUGUUGGUGGGGUAGUGGCUUACCAAGGCUUUGACGGGUAGCCGGCCUGAGAGGGUGACCGGGCACAUGGGGACUGAGAUACGGCCCAGACUCCUACGGGGGGCAGCAGUGGGGAAUAUUGCACAAUGGGCGGAAGCCUGAUGCAGCAACGCCGCGUGCGGGAUGACGGCCUUCGGGUUGUAAACCGCUUUCGCCUGUGACGAAGCGUGAGUGACGGUAAUGGGUAAAGAAGCACCGGCUAACUACGUG